UACGGGGGGGGCAAGCGUUGUUCGGAAUUACUGGGCGUAAAGGCUCGUAGGCGGCCAACUAAGUCGGAUGUGAAAUCCCCAGGCUUAACCUGGGAACUGCAUCCGAUACUGGAUGGCUUGAAUCCGGGAGAGGGAUGCGGAAUUCCAGGUGUAGCGGUGAAAUGCGUAGAUAUCUGGAGGAACACCGGUGGCGAAGGCGGCGUCCUGGACCAAUACUGACACUGAGGAGCGAAAGCCAGGGAGCAAACGGG
rnacentral:rRNA from 1 species